AUUGAACGCUGGCGGAAUGCUUUACACAUGCAAGUCGAACGGCAGCACGGGGGCAACCCUGGUGGCGAGUGGCGAACGGGUGAGUAAUACAUCGGAACGUGCCCAGUCGUGGGGGAUAACGUAGCGAAAGCUACGCUAAUACCGCAUACGAUCUACGGAUGAAAGCGGGGGAUCGCAAGACCUCGCGCGAUUGGAGCGGCCGAUGGCAGAUUAGGUAGUUGGUGGGGUAAAGGCUCACCAAGCCUUCGAUCUGUAGCUGGUCUGAGAGGACGACCAGCCACACUGGGACUGAGACACGGCCCAGACUCCUACGGGAGGCAGCAGUGGGGAAUUUUGGACAAUGGGCGAAAGCCUGAUCCAGCCAUUCCGCGUGCAGGAUGAAGGCCCUCGGGUUGUAAACUGCUUUUGUACGGACGAAACGGCCUUUUCUAAUACAGAGGGCUAAUGACGGUACCGUAAGAAUAAGCACCGGCUAACUACGUGCCAGCAGCCGCGGUAAAGUAUACG
rnacentral:rRNA from 1 species